GGCGGACGGGUGAGUAAUGCUUGGGAAUAUGCCUUUUGGUGGGGGACAACAGUUGGAAACGACUGCUAAUACCGCAUGAUGUCUACGGACCAAAGUGGGGGACCUUCGGGCCUCACGCCAAGAGAUUAGCCCAAGUGGGAUUAGCUAGUUGGUAAGGUAAUGGCUUACCAAGGCGACGAUCCCUAGCUGGUUUGAGAGGAUGAUCAGCCACACUGGGACUGAGACACGGCCCAGACUCCUACGGGAGGCAGCAGUGGGGAAUAUUGCACAAUGGGCGCAAGCCUGAUGCAGCCAUGCCGCGUGUGUGAAGAAGGCCUUCGGGUUGUAAAGCACUUUCAGUAAGGAGGAAAGGUUAAGUUUUAAUAGGGCUUAGCUGUGACGUUACUUACAGAAGAAGCACCGGCUAACUCCGUGCCAGCAGCCGCGGUAAUACGGAGGGCGCGAGCGUUAAUCGGAAUUACUGGGCGUAAAGCGUAC
rnacentral:rRNA from 1 species